rnacentral:tRNA from 1 species
GUGGCUGUAGCUCAGCUGGUUAGAGCGUCUGUUUGUGGAACAGAAGGUCGCGGGUUCAAAUCCCGUCAGCCACC